rnacentral:misc_RNA from 1 species
GAUGAAGAACGUAGCGAAAUGCGAUAAGUAAUGUGAAUUGCAGAAUUCAGUGAAUCAUCGAAUCUUUGAACGCACCUUGCGCUCCUUGGUAUUCCUUGGAGCAUGCCUGUUUGAGUAUCAUGAAAUUCUCAAAGUAAAUCUUUUUGUUAAUUCAAUUAGGUUCACUUUGGAUUUGGAGGUUUUUUGCAGCUUCACACCUGCUCCUCUUUGUGCAUUAGCUGGAUCUCAGUGUUAUGCUUUGUUCCACUCGGCGUGAUAAGUUAUCUAUCGCUGAGGACACUUUUUUUUUGUUUUUUUUCUAAAAAUAAAUAAAUAACUAAGUGGCCAAGGGAAAUGCAGAUGAACCGCUUCCAAUAGUCCAUUAGCUUGGACAAAUAUAUUUUUAUGAUCUGAUCUCAAAUCAGGUAGGACUACCCGCUGAACUUAAGCAUAUCAAUAAGCGGAGGA